GCGGGUGUAGUUCAGUGGUAGAACAAUAGCUUCCCAAGCUAUGUGUCGCGA
rnacentral:tRNA from 1 species